GCCUGGCUAGCUCCGUUGGUGGAGCACGUGACUCUUAAUCUCGGAGUCGUGAGUUCAAGCCCCACGUUGGGCG
rfam:Felis catus isolate Cinnamon breed Abyssinian chromosome A3, whole genome shotgun sequence.